ACGAGUGAUUCUCCCGACCGGCUUUGAUCGGUUUCGAAACCGGUUUGGUCUCUGGGCCAUUUCUUCACUUUUUCCGGUGGUUUCUCCAUUGCCCAGAAACGGGAUCGAAAGAUUACUGCAGAGAGAGAGUUUUAGUGGAAGGAGGUUUGUAUUUUGACAGUAGCGGUCUUUCUUCGGACAUGGAUAUAAUUGGAGAAGAAAGAAGGGAUAACGGUUUGGUUUGUUGUCUGAUUAUAGUGUUUUUGAGUUUGGAUUGUUGUCUGACUAUAGUGUAGUGUUGUCUGAGUUGGUGUUUUUAUAGAGAAGCUAGCGCCUUUCGUAACGGCUAUAUUUCUCUUAAAGGUUUGAGUCUGGUCUCGAUCGCCACAAAACACGUGCGUUUCUCCUAACGGUAAUAAUGUUGGAAUCGAACCGGUCUUGCAACCACCUAAACCGGUCUUGCAACUUCUUCUCGAAGAUGGUGCGUUGUAUAAUCUAAAGAAAUACUUCCUCUCUCAUUCUCUCUCAUUGUACUCUUAAAAAAAUUAUCUGUAACUUGAUCCUUAGGCGAUGUUAUUGUUUCUGCAGAGCUAUACUAACUGAUGAAGAAGAAAGACGAUAUGACUGUUUAGUCUUAAAGACAGAUCUUUGCUUUUGCAUGAGGCUCCUUCGUUGGUGAUUAUACUGGUGGGUUGAGAAUGAAAUGCCUAACAUUGACUUUUGGUAUAGUCAUUCUGGGUUCUAUAAAAUUGUCUUUAUGUAUAUUUACUCUGUUUUGUUCUCCUCACUGAUCUUCGGCAUUUCCAUGUCAUUACAAGUAUUAUUUGAGUCAUUAUAGGUAAUUUCUCAAAUAAAUAUUGCUUUUUGCUUGGUAACAUA
rnacentral:lncRNA from 1 species